AUAGCCGCCCCGUCCCCUUCCAGUUUCAGGAAAUCAGUUCAGUUGAUCCUUGCCAGCAUGAAAAACAAAGCAAAGCAAAAAAAAAGAACAAGCCAAAACAAAUCACUAAAGAAAAACAGAACGGGAAGGACGAGGCUCUCCUGCAUGGGAAAGAUUGGAGGCUCCUGGGCUGGAGAGGGACAGAAGAGAUGCUAGCAUGGAGCUCUGUGGAGUACGUGCUUGAGAAAUAACUGUUUGAACCUGACAAACAUUUAAUCUGUCCACGUGGCCCCUGCCUUCUUCCCCGGUCUAAG